GACGAACGCUGGCGGCGUGCUUAACACAUGCAAGUCGAGCGGUAAGGCCCUUUCGGGGUACACGAGCGGCGAACGGGUGAGUAACACGUGGGUGACCUGCCCUCCAGCUCUGGGAUAAGCCUGGGAAACUGGGUCUAAUACUGGAUAUGACUCCACGGUGCAUGUCGUGGGGUGGAAAGCCUUGUGCGGCUGAGGAUGGGCCCGCGGCCUAUCAGCUUGUUGGUGGGGUGAGGCCUACCAAGGCGACGACGGGUAGCCGGCCUGAGAGGGCGACCGGCCACAC
rnacentral:rRNA from 1 species